UCUGAAUAUCAUUGGCAUUUAACUCUGGAAGGAGAAAGGAUGAGGCUAUCACUGGCUCGGCCAGCAUUUAUUGCAGCGUUUACCCAGAGGGCAGUUAAGAGUCAACCACGUUGCUAUAGGUCUGGAGUCCCAUGCAGACCAGACCAGGGAUCUGCACUGGAACCCUUCUGUUUGCAGGACAAAUAUAUAUUUGAUGAAGAUGUGUUGAAAAUGUUUGCAGUUACUGAUCUGCUGAACGAAAAUGACCACUUUUAAACUGAUGAUUGGACUAGAGACCUUUGAGAAAACUUGAAAAUAUUCAUUAAGUUCUCAACAAAAGAAAUUAACUAGUUCUGCUGGUUCUAAAUCCGUGGAAAAUAUUUGAGAAUGUUGUGGUCUUAAAGGUGAAAGGGCUAAGUGAUCGGAAUACAUCACUUCAUCGGAGGCAUUCAGAGAAGAUUGACUGGGAUGAUCCUUGGUUUGAAGGGAUUCUCUUUUAAGAAAAGGCUGAAGAAGUCCGGACUCUACUCACUCGAUUUGGGAAGAAUGAGAAGUGAACUCUUUCAAACAUAUCGGCUUCCUCAGGGGUUUGACAAGGUAUCCCCGAAAACCUGCUUAUUUGGCAAUUCUUUUGAUCA